rnacentral:rRNA from 1 species
CCUACGGGGGGCAGCAGUGGGGGAUAUUGCACAAUGGAGGAAACUCUGAUGCAGCGACGCCGCGUGAGGGAAGACGGUCUUCGGAUUGUAAACCUCUGUCUUUGGGGAAGAAAAUGACGGUACCCAAAGAGGAAGCUCCGGCAAAUUACGUUCCAGCAGCCGCGGCAAUACGUGGGCAGCGAGCGUUGUCCGGAAUUACGGGGUGAAAGGGGAGAGUAGGCGGGUGAGAAAGUUGAAUGUUAAAUCUACCGGCUUAACUGGUAGCUGCGUUCAAAACUUCUUGUCUUGAGGGAAGUAGAGGCAGGCGGAAUUCCUGGUGUAGCGGUGAAAUGCGUAGAUAUUAGGAGGAAAACCAGUGGCGAAGGCGGCCUGCUGAGCUUUAACUGACGCUGAGGCUCGAAAGCGUGGGGAGCAAACAGGAUUAGAUACCCGUGUAGUC